UGCAAAAUAAAAUAAACGAAAUAUAUCUUGAGAUUAAACAUUCAAGUUGAAGGUGUGUUCUUCCUUAAACUGGAAUGAUAAUUUUGUAAUUCUGUAGGCACAUCUAUUGAGAAGUUACAACCAGUGGCAAAGUGCCUUAAGGGAGUCUAUGACAUAUAUUUGAAGGGACAUCUCCUCUGAAGGAAUUACAAUUAUUUGCCAGUAUGUCAAAUGAAUUUUCAACAUCAGUCAUACUUUCAUGAAUUUAUUGAUGAAAAUAAAACUAGGUACAUGAUUUAUUUACUUCCAAGGGAUUCUAAGAUACUAUGUGUAAAAAGUCAAAUAUGCAGUGAUGAGCAUGCUAAUAACUGGCAAAAUAUGGGAUAUAACGCCAAAGAUGGGAAACAUGGGAUGAAUUCUGAAGUAAAAAGAGAUGAAACUGAGAGAAAUUAUCGAUAUAAACAUAUAAAUUAACAUUACAUUACAUAGGUUCCCACCUUUAGACGUAUCAGAUGAGUAUGAGAACUGUCACUGUGACAGGAGAAUUUUAUAAAAUACUCCUGUCACAAAGGUGGGAAACUAUGUAAUGUUAUCGUCGGCUAAGAGUGUUAACCUGCUAACUCCAUUUUUCACUGUGAGUGAUAUUGGGGUAGUUUCUAGGUCUGUGUACCUUCAUACCAUGUCCCACAAGCCCGCUGGUUCCACUGUAGUUUAGAGAUAGCUACUUCUAAACUACAUUGGUGUCGGCGGGUUUGUGGGGUGGUGUAUGAAAAUACACAGACCCAGAAACUAGCCCAAUAUCACUCAAAGUGAAAAAUGGAGUUAGCAGGUUAAAAAUCUUAUCCAAGGUUAUGUUAAUUUAUUCGUUUAUAACGAUAAGUUCCACUUCUACCAGUUUCAUCUCUUUUUAUCUCACAAGUUAAUAUGUUUUCCAUCUUUUGCGUUAUUUUGCCGGUUAUUAGUGUGAGUGCUCAUUACUGUAUAUUUACGAUUCUGUGAUUUCUCAAUAUGAUGCUGAGUAGGUAUAGAUGAGCAUCUACAACCCUUUCAAAACAGAAAUUUAUAAGUUCAUUUUAUGUACCUAUUAAACUUUAUUUUAAGGAUGAAUUUGAAAUGCUUGUAGGGAAUAUAUCUGUAAAAAUAAAAUUGGUAUUAUAAAAUUGAAAUUCUCAAAAUAUAAUUUAUAAUUCGAA